GCCACCGUGCCACCCAGCUCCCUGCCCCCCUCCCACUCCCCACUGCAGUGGCAGGUCAGGUCCACACUGCAGCCACUGCCCUUCUCUUCCCAACCUCCAGGUACAUUUCCAUCUCAUUCACAGUAGAAGGCAAAGUUCUUACAACAGGCCUGGGGGCUGCCCUCCCCGCUUCCUCCCUACCCGUCUUAACUCCAAAGGUACGAAAAUAUAAAGCUCUGCUUUCUUCCGUAGCCUCUCUCAAGCCAUCAUGGUGUUUUUUAUUUGCUACUUAAUGUUAUUCUAACUACAGAAAAAAUUAAAAUUUUAAAAUAUUAGCAUGAAUUUUACUGCUCAACUUUAUAUUGUGCAAUGCCAGCUUUAAAUGCAAAUAUUAGAGCAUUUAACUCGUGGAAUCAAGACAGUUAGGCAAUUCCUAUUUCAUAGCUCGUAUCUGCACAUGUAUUUCAUUCUCACCAGAACCAUGGAAACACUGCACAAAAUACCACAUGAAACUCAAUUUUUUAUGUCUUUUUUUUCUUCUGCUUUUACUUUUAUUUGCGUUUAUUUUAUGCUGAAUUUAUUCCUGGCCAUAAGUCUGUGUUUCUUCUGGGAUAACUUUUUCUUCUGUGCAGCCUCCUCUCUGGUCUAGGAACUAUCUACUGCCCUUUAAUGAGGAGCAUCUCAGUGGCAGGCGUGCUUUUGCAGGGGUGAAGCCAGCCAGGACCUGUGUUAGGACAGCACAUGCUGCCUCUGUAAAGUGACACCCUUCAGAUACCCGGAGGCUUUCGGGUAUGCAUGUCCUUGGUGACCAGGGUCGUUUCACGGGUGUUCUUAAAGAGAACACGAAGAUUUGGACCUCUUGAUUUGAAUGACUUUGUGGGGUCUUCUGGGUCAACUGAAUAGGGAACCGUUUCUAGAAAUCACCUCAGGCCACUUACUGGAAGAGCUUCUCUUUUUGAUAUGCAUGGAUUCUCCCAAAGUUUUCUACCUCGGGCUGGCUGAUGGGUGAGGAAGGACCAAAAGAGAAAGGAACUCUAUAUAGGGACAGGGACGCAAGGAAGAGGGUGGGCAUGCGUACUGUGCAUAUCUCCUCUGUGCCAUUGUCCCAUGGACUUCACUUAGAAAACACAACACCAGGCGGAGAAUAAAGGAGCCAUCCCAUCAAGCCCUGCGCAAAUUUUAGAAGCAUAAGCAAAUAAACAGUUGUUGUUUUAACUCGCUGAGUUUUGUGGUGGCUUGUUACACGGUAGCUGGUGACAGAUACAAUGGCUGAGAUCGCACACAGCUAGUAUGAGACCAGGCUGUGGUGGAAUCCACGUGGGUCUGCUUCUCAAGUCCACACGCUUCUCUGCCCCACCAGGGCUUCCUUACAAAUGCUUCGUAGAGUAACUCUUAUUCUUCUCUUUGGAGAGUUGAUGAGUUUAGGGUUGAACUGGGGGGCGAAGGUUACUUAACUGAAACAAAUCAAAGUUGUUAUUAGAGCUUGGAGGAAUCCACAUCUGGACUCGAUGUCGGGGGAUAGGGGGUUGGUGGGUGGGUCAGGGCUGAGAACAGGCCCAGCCUCUGUCCAGGGUGAGCCUGGG
rnacentral:lncRNA from 1 species